UAAUACGUAGGGACCAAGCGUUGUUCGGAUUUACUGGGCGUAAAGGGUGCGUAGGCGGCUUGUCAAGUCAGUUGUGAAAUCUCCGAGCUUAACUCGGAACGGUCAACUGAUACUGUCAUGCUAGAGUGCAGAAGGGGCAAUCGGAAUUCUUGGUGUAGCGGUGAAAUGCGUAGAUAUCAAGAGGAACACCUGAGGUGAAGACGGGUUGCUGGGCUGACACUGACGCUGAAGCACGAAAGCUAGGGUAGCAAACGGGAUUAGAUACCCCGGUAGUCCUAGCCCUAAACGAUGAAUGCUUGGUGUCUGGAGUUUCAAUUCUCCGGGUGCCGUCGCUAACGUUUUAAGCAUUCCGCCUGGGGAGUACGUACGCAAGUAUG
rnacentral:rRNA from 1 species